GACGAACGCUGGCGGCGUGCUUAACACAUGCAAGUCGAACGGAAAGGCCCUGCUUUUGUGGGGUGCUCGAGUGGCGAACGGGUGAGUAACACGUGAGUAACCUGCCCUUGACUUUGGGAUAACUUCAGGAAACUGGGGCUAAUACCGGAUAGGAGCUCCUGCUGCAUGGUGGGGGUUGGAAAGUUUCGGCGGUUGGGGAUGGACUCGCGGCUUAUCAGCUUGUUGGUGGGGUAGUGGCUUACCAAGGCUUUGACGGGUAGCCGGCCUGAGAGGGUGACCGGCCACAUUGGGACUACGGUAGGGACCAGUCUCCAAUGGGAGGCAGCAGGGGGAAAUAUUGCACAGUGGGGGGGAGCCUGUGACGGCGGCCCCGGGUGCGGAAUGACGGCUUACGGGUGAUAAACCGCUUUCGCCUGAAACAUAGCGUGAGUGACGGUAAUGAAUAAAAAAGCACCGGCUAACUACGUG
rnacentral:rRNA from 1 species